AAUAAGAAGACAUUGAAUUGGUCUAAUUCUUCGCAUACUCCCACUCCCUCCGUUAAACAAAGGUUUAAUUCUUCAGUUCUAGUCUCUCCAAGAAAAGUAAAAAUAAAAAAGAAGAAAAUAAGAUUCAUAUUCAAAGGUAACAAUAAGUUGGACGCGCAUAGAGGGGCAAUUCCUGUUUGACCCUCUUUGUUUAUUUGGAACAUUUCAAAACGAGGACUUAUAAUGUGAGAAAGCCAUGCAAUCAAUUUUAAAUAAACAUCAAAGACUUGCUCCACACUGCUAUUAUAAAUCAAUCUUUCACUUCAUCCCCAGCAAAGCGUUGCGACCUGAAAUGGCUUUAACUAGCUCACUAUUGUUCACCAUCAUCAUCAUCAUUGCAUUUCCAGUUUCAACCACAGCCCAACAAUCAUCCAACCGCAACAUAACUCUGGGUUCGUCCAUCGUCGCAAACGCCGACGCCAGUCACACGUGGACGUCGCCAUCCGGCGAGUUUGCUUUCGGGUUCCGGCAGGUUGCGCCUGGAGCCUUCUUACUCGCCAUCUGGUUCGACCAAUUACCUGACAAAACCCUUGUUUGGUCGGCCAACCGCGACGCUCCAGUUCCCACAGGAUCCACUGUCCAGCUUUCUACAGAUGGAUCGUUGGUGCUCAUUCAUCAGAGAAGCGGAGGGAUAUGGCGGGCUGACCCCUCUCAGCCAGGUAGGGUGGCCUACGCCGCCAUGCUCGACACCGGUAACUUCGUGCUCGCCACCAACAUUUCCUCCAUCUUGUGGGGGAGUUUUGAUCAGCCCACUGAUACCUUAUUGCCCACCCAAUUACUAAACAGAGACGUUGCUCUAGUUUCCACGGUUUCGGAGACGAAUUACUCCACCGGAAAAUUCAGGAUGAGGUUGCAGACCGACGGGAAUCUGGUGCUCAACACCGUAGCAUUCCCCUCGCCGGAUCCUUAUUGGUCAUCACAGACACAGACUCUUGAAAGCGGAGUCCGAUUGUUGUUCAACCAGUCCGGCAGCAUCAUCUUCAUCAGGCAAAAAUGGGACCCUAAUCCGACCUCUAUUCAACAACUCCGAUCUAGUCGGGCAGUUCCACCAGAGACUGACGCUGGAAUACGACGGAGUUCUCCGCCGCUAUGUGUAUCCCAAGUCAGCUAAUUCAUCCAUGGCGUUUGCGUGGACAGCCCGUGGUUUUGUCCCUUCCAAUAUAUGUCGUGCUGUUAGGAAGCACACACGGNUAUAUAUAUAUAUAUAUAUAUCUCUAUAUAUAUAUAGGGUGGGGCUAACGGUAAAAACAGCUCUUAAAAUAAAAAAUGCGAACCAGACAAAAAUGUAUGUAAUUUUAUGUAGAACACGUAUGAAUUCUCUGUAUAAUGGUAUGAAUUCGAAAAAUAAUUUUUUGCUCCCUCUGGGAUUCGAUCUCAGGAUCUGCAUUCAUCCACCAAUGUGAUGCAUCCAUUGUAGAUCUUGAUGAUCUAAUGGCUUAAAAUGGUUCUUCUUUUAUUUUAUUAGUGGUUUUUAUUUGAACCUCUCCCCUCUCUUUCUAAUAAUAUAUAUAUAUAUAUAUAUAUAUAUAUAUAUAUAUAUAUAUAUGAUUGAAUAUGAUUUCAAAUUUGACGAUGUUGUUUAAAGUUUGAGACGAGAUUAUUCUCAUAACUUAAUUAUAGUUUCACAAAUUCUAGAGAAAAUGAUACUCACAAGUAAGUUAUAAUCUUCAAGCUCCAUACAAGAUGAUGUUCAAAAUUCAGAUGUGGUAUUUCAAACUCCAAAGAAUAUGAUUUUUAAAAUUUUAACGUUCAAAUGUUAUAUGUGGUCUUUAGAGCUUCAUAUGAUUAUCUGGUCUUAUUAGGUCCAUAUGAUGAUACUCAGAUGACAUAUGUUUAGUUAAAUUAUUUCUUAUCCGUCAAAUUUAAAGAAUUUGAACAAACUUAAUACUCCAUCCGUCCCCCAAACAUCUUCCUAAGAGAGGAUGACACGAGUUUUAAUAAAAGUUAGUUAUUUAUUUGAUAAGUGGAGAAUGUGUCCCACAAAAAGUGAAAUUAUAAAAGUGAUAGUUAGUGAAAGUGGAGAACGAGUCCCACAAAAAGUGAAAUUGUAAGAAUAAUAAUUAGUGAAAUUGUUUCCAAAAAUAGGUUAGGAAGAUGUUUUGGGGACGAACCAAAAUAGAAAAAAAAAAAAAAAAAAAAAGAAAAUGUUUGAGGGACGGAGAGAGUAAAUAUUAUCGAUAUACGAUUAACAGCAGAUGCGACACAUCAAUCGUACAUCAUAUCAUACUUUAAAUUUACAUAUUUUUUUCUUCUAAAAUCUUCAAUCCCACAUCAACUUUUUAUAAACUUCAUCAAAUGAAUAUUUAUAUAAAAAUGUAUUUCUAUUAUCACAACCUACAUUUAAUUGGCGAAAGUGAUAAGAUUAAUAUUAUUUCAAAUAAUGUAUUACUAAUUUAAUUUGAUCAUAUCAAAUUAAUUAAAAAAUAAUUUAUAUAUAAACUAUUUCAUAUAUAUACUAUAGUAAUAAAAAUAACAUAAAAUAAUUAUAAAUGAUGACAUAAAAUAAUUUUCGUCGAAUUUCGACGGGUUAGACGCUAGUAAUAAAUCAAAUAAGAAGACAUUGAAUUGGUCUAAUUCUUCGCAUACUCCCACUCCCUCCGUUAAACAAAGGUUUAAUUCUUCAGUUCUAGUCUCUCCAAAGAAAAGUAAAAAUAAAAAAGAAGAAAAUAAGAUUCAUAUUCAAAGGUAACAAUAAGUUGGACGCGCAUAGAGGGGCAAUUCCUGUUUGACCCUCUUUGUUUAUUUGGAACAUUUCAAAACGAGGACUUAUAAUGUGAGAAAGCCAUGCAGUCAAUUUUAAAUAAACAUCAAAGACUUGCUCCACACUGCUAUUAUAAAUCAAUCUUUCACUUCAUCCCCAG
rnacentral:lncRNA from 1 species